GACAGAGGAUGCAAGCGUUAUCCGGAAUCACUGGGCGUAAAGCGUCUGUAGGUGGUUCAAUAAGUCAACUGUUAAAUCUUGAGGCUCAACUUCAAAAUCGCAGUCGAAACUAUUGGACUCGAGUAUAGUAGGGGUAAAGGGAAUUUCCAGUGGAGCGGUGAAAUGCGUAGAGAUUGGAAAGAACACCAAUGGCGAAAGCACUUUACUGGCUAGUUACUGACACUGAGAGACGAAAGCUAGGGUAGCAAAUGGG
rnacentral:rRNA from 1 species